GACGAACGCUGGCGGCGUGCUUAACACAUGCAAGUCGAACGGAAAGGCCCUGCUUUUGUGGGGUGCUCGAGUGGCGAACGGGUGAGUAACACGUGAGUAACCUGCCCUUGACUUUGGGAUAACUUCAGGAAACUGGGGCUAAUACCGGAUAGGAACUCCUGCUGCAUGGUGGGGGUUGGAAAGUUUCGGCGGUUGGGGAUGGACUCGCGGCUUAUCAGCUUGUUGGUGGGGUAGUGGCUUACCAAGGCUUUGACGGGUAGCCGGCCUGAGAGGGUGGCCGGCCACAUUGGGACUGAGAUACGGCCCAGACUCCUACGGGAGGCAGCAGUGGGGAAUAUUGCACAAUGGGCGGAAGCCUGAUGCAGCAACGCCGCGUGCGGGAUGACGGCCUUCGGGUUGUAAACCGCUUUCGCCUGUGACGAAGCGUGAGUGACGGUAAUGGGUAAAGAAGCACCGGCUAACUACGUG
rnacentral:rRNA from 1 species